rnacentral:rRNA from 1 species
GUGGCGGACGGGUGAGUAACGCGUGAGUAACCUGCCUUUCAGAGGGGGAUAACGUUCUGAAAAGAACGCUAAUACCGCAUAACAUUUCGAGAUCACAUGGUUUUGAAAUCAAAGGAGUAAUCCGCUGAAAGAUGGACUCGCGUCCGAUUAGCUAGUUGGAGGGGUAAAGGCCCACCAAGGCGACGAUCGGUAGCCGGACUGAGAGGUUGAACGGCCACAUUGGGACUGAGACACGGCCCAGACUCCUACGGGAGGCAGCAGUGGGGGAUAUUGCACAAUGGAGGAAACUCUGAUGCAGCAACGCCGCGUGAGGGAAGACGGUUUUCGGAUUGUAAACCUCUGUCUUUAGGGAAGAUAAUGACGGUACCUAAAGAGGAAGCUCCGGCUAACUACGUGCCAGCAGCCGCGGUAAUACGUAGGGAGCAAGCGUUGUCCGGAUUUACUGGGUGUAAAGGGUGCGUAGGCGGAUUGACAAGUCAGUAGUGAAAUCUGGGGGCUUAACCCCCAAACUGCUAUUGAAACUGUUGAUCUUGAGUGAAGUAGAGGUAGGCGGAAUUCCCGGUGUAGCGGUGAAAUGCGUAGAGAUCGGGAGGAACACCAGUGGCGAAGGCGGCCUACUGGGCUUUAACUGACGCUGAGGCACGAAAGCAUGGGUAGCAAACAGGAUUAGAUACCCUGGUAGUCCAUGCCGUAAACGAUGAUUACUAGGUGU